rnacentral:rRNA from 1 species
CCUACGGGGGGCUGCAGUGGGGAAUAUUGGACAAUGGGCGAAAGCCUGAUCCAGCCAUGCCGCGUGUGUGAAGAAGGCCUUCGGGUUGUAAAGCACUUUCAGUGGGGAAGAAAGCCUUGGGGCUAAUACCCUCGAGGAAGGACAUCACCCACAGAAGAAGCACCGGCUAACUCCGUGCCAGCAGCCGCGGUAAUACGGAGGGUGCGAGCGUUAAUCGGAAUUACUGGGCGUAAAGCGCGCGUAGGCGGUCUGAUAAGCCGGUUGUGAAAGCCCCGGGCUCAACCUGGGAACGGCAUCCGGAACUGUCAGGCUAGAGUGCAGGAGAGGAAGGUAGAAUUCACGGUGUAGCGGUGAAAUGCGUAGAGAUCGGGAGGAAUACCAGUGGCGAAGGCGGCCUUCUGGACUGACACUGACGCUGAGGUGCGAAAGCGUGGGUAGCAAACAGGAUUAGAUACCCGAGUAGUC